CAGUGGGGAAUAUUGGACAAUGGGCGAAAGCCUGAUCCAGCCAUGCCGCGUGUGUGAAGAAGGUCUUCGGAUUGUAAAGCACUUUAAGUUGGGAGGAAGGGCAUUAACCUAAUACGUUAGUGUUUUGACGUUACCGACAGAAUAAGCACCGGCUAACUCUGUGCCAGCAGCCGCGGUAAUACAGAGGGUGCAAGCGUUAAUCGGAAUUACUGGGCGUAAAGCGCGCGUAGGUGGUUUGUUAAGUUGAAUGUGAAAGCCCCGGGCUCAACCUGGGAACUGCAUCCAAAACUGGCAAGCUAGAGUACGGUAGAGGGUGGUGGAAUUUCCUGUGUAGCGGUGAAAUGCGUAGAUAUAGGAAGGAACACCAGUGGCGAAGGCGACCACCUGGACUGAUACUGACACUGAGGUGCGAAAGCGUGGGGAGCAAACAGGAUUAGA
rnacentral:rRNA from 1 species